UUAAAAAAAAUAAGAGCUUUAUUCAGUGUUGAGAAUGAGAGACACACAUACAGUAAGGAUAGAUGCCUUACCCUCACAGAUUUAGAAUGUAUACACAAAAAAACACCCAACUGAAUACAAUCAUGCACCCCAUUGGUUGUGCCAUAGCUGUGCAUCAUUAGACACAAAGUCAUUGCCAGGUUUAAGCUUAUCCUGGUUGAGAAUGGUUUCCAGCUCCGGCUGUUUGCAGUGUAUGAAUGCUUUAUGUUGAAAUGUGAUUCCGAUCAGCGAUAUACAGUUAGUGACUGAGUAUUGUAGGAGUAGUAGUCCACAGCUGUCCAGCCAUACCUUUAGUUCUCUCAGAUUUUUUACAUUGUAAGCUAAUGCUAUAUGACAUUCAUUUAAUGGGCGAAUUUGGGGUUGUGCAAACAAUACUCUUAAAACAGGAUUGUUUUACACUUGUACAAAACUCCUCACAAAUUGCAAUAACACCCAGCUUAUUCUUGGUGCAGAAUAACAUGUUCUCAUACUAAUUAAGUUACAGAGAGCACAUCUUGCCAUAAUAGUUAUAGGAAUGUGAAAAUAGUAUAACAAAUACAAUAAAUAAUAUCUCAAUAUGGAUAAAAUAUUACCACUGAUGAUUGUACUAUGCUGGCAAAGUGAGGAGUGGGAUAUACAGCAGGAGGGUUGGGGUGGCUGAGUAUUGAGAAUAAGUACGGGUAUCAGUGAGGAGAGGGGGGACUUUGCAAGUAUGUGGGCAAUGGAGCAUGUAAGAAAGAUGAGGAUAGUGAUGCAGUGAGUCCAGGCAAGGGAGUGAUGCAUUACACAGGUGAGAGCAGACUGGCACUGAAAAAGGAGAAGGCAGUGAUGCAGUAUGGGAAAUGCAGAUUGCAAUGCAGUGAAAAGACAUAGGUCAGUUGAAAUAUGCCCUAUGCAUAGAUGAGUAAAGGAUGCCAGAAAAUGGUUAAGGCUGGUACUGCAUUUAUUUUAAAUGAGGAUAUCAAAUGCACUGAGAAGAUGAGGGCAGCAAAGCAGCAAGCAAUGGGGAUUGUAGUAAAGCAGAAAGGGAUAGGAAGUUAUUGGCCGUACAGGUCAAUAGAGCCUUGCAAAGGACAGAGUCUGGUGUUGGUCUUGCCCUGCACAAAUGCUAGACUAGGGCUUUAAUAAGAGUGAUCUGAGCAGAGGGAAAGGUGGCAAUAUGUCAAAUAUUACAGAAUACUGAAAAACAUUACAGAAUACUGAAAAGUGAUUAGGAAUUAUACUCAAGGGCACCAAUUGCAUUAUUGAAAUUUUUAU